UACGGGGGGUGCAAGCGUUAUCCGGAUUUAUUGGGUUUAAAGGGUCCGUAGGCGGAUCUGUAAGUCAGUGGUGAAAUCUCACAGCUUAACUGUGAAACUGCCAUUGAUACUGCAGGUCUUGAGUGUUAUUGAAGUAGCUGGAAUAAGUAGUGUAGCGGUGAAAUGCAUAGAUAUUACUUAGAACACCAAUUGCGAAGGCAGGUUACUAAGCAACAACUGACGCUGAUGGACGAAAGCGUGGGGAGCGAACAGG
rnacentral:rRNA from 1 species